UACAGAGGUCUCAAGCGUUGUUCGGAUUCAUUGGGCGUAAAGGGUGCGUAGGCGGCGCGGUAAGUCGGGUGUGAAAUCUCGGAGCUUAACUCCGAAACUGCAUUCGAUACUGCCGUGCUUGAGGACUGGAGAGGAGACUGGAAUUUACGGUGUAGCGGUGAAAUGCGUAGAUAUCGUAAGGAAGACCAGUGGCGAAGGCGGUCUCUGGACAGUUCCUGACGCUGAGGCACGAAGGUCAGGAGCAACGG
rnacentral:rRNA from 1 species